rnacentral:misc_RNA from 1 species
AAGUCGUAACAAGGUUUCCGUAGGUGAACCUGCGGAAGGAUCAUUAGUGAAUUAUAGGGCGUCUACUUCGGUAGGGCCUGACCUCCACUUUCUAACUCUGUGCACUCAUUUGGCGGAAAAGAGGAAUAGUGAUUGUCUCGCGACGAUUAGGACUUCCUUCUUUCUGCGGCUUACUUUAAACACCAGUCAAAGUAUGUAACGAAAUAUCGAAACAAAAAAAAACUUUCAACAACGGAUCUCUUGGCUCUC